rnacentral:rRNA from 1 species
UACGUAGGGUGCUAGCGUUGUCCGGAAUUAUUGGGCGUAAAGAGCUCGUAGGCGGUUUGUCGCGUCUGCUGUGAAAACUGGAGGCUCAACCUCCAGCCUGCAGUGGGUACGGGCAGACUAGAGUGGCGGUAGGGGAGAUUGGAAUUCCUGGUGUAACGGUGGAAUGCGCAGAUAUCAGGAGGACACCGAUGGGCGAAGGCAG